UCUGUGUGCCUCGAAUAAGUAUUGUUGUUUGUCCAUGACAACUCUGUUCUUCCCCUUAUCUGCUGCUUUGAUGAUCAUUUCCCUGUUGUCUUUCACCUCUCUUAGGAUUUGGGUAUCGUAAGCCAAGUUUACAGCUGAAGAGAAGAGCCAGCAUCUGGCUGAUGGAGGGAAAAAACCAGGCCAGCGAGUCGAGCAAGCUGCUGACCUUAACUGGGCUGGUGAGUACCUGGAUCAGGAUGAAGUGCAGGUAGAAAUGAGUUUAUCUUGGGCAUAG